UCAGCCACGGCUGAACUCCUGACCUUCUUCACACACCAAGCGUCUGUUGUGGGCUUCGGGAGGUGCAAGAUGGGUCACAGCAAGCCGUGAGGCAACGGGGCAAGAACGAGUGAAAAGAGAAGAGAGGGGCUGGUGGAUAGUUAGAGAAGGGGGGAGGAGUGAAGUGGGGAUUGGAGGGAUUUGAGCAUUGAAGUGCUCAGUGGUGGGUCAGUUUCUUUUUUUUUUUUUCCAGCAUUCUUUUCUAAGAGCUUUCGACCAAUCACAGAGGAGAAGGAACAACUUAGCAAAUCAGGGUUAAACCCACACCUUUGAUCACUCCUGACCUGGCUUUGGCUCAACUCUGACACACUGGCAUCCAAUUCUUGGCCUCCCCGCUCGACCCGUCUGCCCUCUCCUACCAUCCCUCAGUCUCACUCACUCAUCCCUCCAUCUUUCAUUCUCCGAGACAGACAAUAAAGCAAGCUUUUUCCAUGGCUGACCUGAGUUUCACCCUGACCUCCACAACAUCCCAAAUCACAGACAGUGAGGGUGAGGGCGGAUUACAGCCCAGGAUCCAGGGUGUUGCACAGAGCUUGUGUAUCCCAGUCCAAAAUGUCUGUCCCACAGGGCUUAUUGAAUGAAUCGUUCUAUUUUGCCCCAGCCCUCUCAUGGGGUCACGCAGACUCCAGAUAUGCACACACCGCUGUGGCUAGACGGAAGUGUGUUCAAAUGAAGGGUAACAAAAACAACACGGAGAGAACUGCGAUUAAAAUCAGUCCGGAGAGAUUUUGCUGAUACGUGUCUGAUUCUGAGAUGAUUUUGAAAUUCAUCUCAUUCCAAGGUUUGAGCCACUCUCUGCUUUUCCCAUGAACUUCAGCUGACACAGCCACAUCUCUGACCUUUGACUCCUCAUUGAGGCUGCCAGAAAUCAUGGCUCAUGUGAAUCAGAUGUUGCACAGAGGGGACAGACUGCUUCUCUGCAGCUCCGCCGGAUGAGUAGGAGCACCUGUUUUCAAAUAAAUCUUCAGAUAGAAAUGA